GAUGAACGCUGGCGGCGUGCUUAACACAUGCAAGUCGAACGAAGCACUUUAUUUGAUUUCCUUCGGGACUGAUUAUUUUGUGACUGAGUGGCGGACGGGUGAGUAACGCGUGGGUAACCUGCCUUGUACAGGGGGAUAACAGUUGGAAACGGCUGCUAAUACCGCAUAAGCGCACAGCAUCGCAUGAUGCAGUGUGAAAAAUUCCGGUGGUAUAAGAUGGACCCGCGUUGGAUUAGCUAGUUGGUGAGGUAACGGCUCACCAAGGCGACGAUCCAUAGCCGACCUGAGAGGGUGACCGGCCACAUUGGGACUGAGACACGGCCCAAACUCCUACGGGAGGCAGCAGUGGGGAAUAUUGCACAAUGGGCGAAAGCCUGAUGCAGCGACGCCGCGUGAGCGAAGAAGUAUUUCGGUAUGUAAAGCUCUAUCAGCAGGGAAGAUAAUGACGGUACCUGACUAAGAAGCACC
rnacentral:rRNA from 1 species